GUGUCAUGUCAUUUCCAGCAGUUAACUGAAGCCACAUGGAUGGCUGUGAUCAACUACAAAGAAAACCUAUCUGAGUACUCCCCCUUCCCCAGUUCAGUCCCCUGUCCCAAAGGCUUCAAAAUCAAGGGGGUUGGUGAGCAAUGGCCAUGGAAUAAUAGCCUGGAUAUGGCAGAAGAGAAUGAUGAACCCCACCUCUUUCAUGCCCUGUGAAAUUGAAAAGAUCCUGAAUCCCAGCAAAACAGAUGAUGUCAACAGUUUGAAGACCCCCACAGAGGAACGGAAUCAGUAUGAGAAUCCAGUUUAUUCACCUCCCUGUCCCAUGACUUUACCCUACACUCUUUAACCAAUCAACAAUCUCCACACUUCAGCCCCACUCCAAAACUCUUAAAACCCUAGCCAAAAACUCCUUCAGGAGAUGGAUUUGAGGUUUCCUCUCAUCUCCUGGUUUGGCAGCCCUACGAUUAAACCUCUUUCUCUGCUGCAA
rnacentral:lncRNA from 10 species